CAUGCGUUGCCGCGACACGAGUUUUCACUCCGUCCGCUCGCCUCUCCUUCUCAAUGGACGUCGUCCGUUUCUCUUCCUCUCCAUUAACUUCGUCUAUUUCUUCUCCAAGUAAUUGUGCCUGCUGGCACGGAAGAGUCGUCGGCCACACUGAAGCACCAUCGCCUACUCGUCUUCCCUCCUCCGGACGCCCAUAAGUAGUGCGCCUGCGAGCUCGCCUUCCCCUUCCUCACUUGCUCUGCUCCUCGCUCCCCUCCGACCUCUGAUUCUGCGAUUUAUCGUCGUGCCCCUAUUGCUGCUACUCGCGCCAGCCGUCGCUCUGUGUAGCUUGUCGUGCCGCCCGCCGUGCUCGAGCUGCCAUCACUGGAGAGCACCGCCGUCUGCUGCCCGUGUCAAACGUCGCCUGCUUUCACCUCAUCCGCUCCGUGUGCUGCACGCCGUCGAGCUCCCUACGUCCUACCGUUGUGCGUGACGCCGCCCGAAGUCGUGCCCACGUUGUCGACUCAACCACGCCGAGCUUUCUCUGUCCGUGUACUUCUUCCUGCUCAUGGUGCGCCUGCUACCUCGCUCGUCGACGUGGUUAUUCGUCUCGCUGGAGUUUAUGAUGCUGCAUCGUCGAUGUUGAACUUGUUCUCAAAUGCUUCGAAUUAAAAAUAAGGCAAUAUAAAUGUUAAUAAUAAAAGACCUUCGUCCUUCGAAACAUUAUUUUUCUUAGAAUAUAAUGAUCUUCAGACGAAGAUUAUGAAGUGCGUAACUUAAUCAUCUCAGUAUAUAAUAAUAAAAAUAAAAGCAAAUGAAGUAUGAGAAAUGACAUGAAUAAUCAUAUGCUAUUAUCAGAGUACUUUUUAUUAUUUAUCAUAAAUAAACAUGAACAAUAUCGAGUUACAUUUAUACCUUCGGCUUGACAGAAGGUCGAGAUUCAGAUGUGCCGCGUGAGCAAAAUACUAGUCAGCGUGAACAGUACGGUGCUACUGUUUAUCUAUUUAUAAGCACAUGACGUAACCUGUGUAAAAUUUCAUUCAUACCCUUGACAUUUAGUAUUGUCUUAAGGAUAAUCUAUCGAGUAUUAGACAGUCUUUUCCCCUUGAAGUCGUUUUUAUUUUCCACCGCUAAGCCGAAGCCUUUCCACGGGUAGCUUCGAAACUGGUUCAACCUUCUUCCGAUCCGCGCUUUUCCAUAUCAUGUACAACUCCAUCCUAUAUAUGUUCGAAGAUUCUUGUACAUAUUUUAUACUUGGAGAACAGGUUAGUUGUGUUUUUGAGGACCUUCGGAAGACGAAGGUCCCCAAUAGUAGCCCCUCGUAGUAUUAAUUUGUUAUAAUAACAAAUUUAGACUACGACGUGAACGAAGGCCAUGAGCCAAGGGUCCGAAAAAACACCUUCCCUUCGCUAGAAUAGCGACAGUCAAUGAUAGACGGGGGCCGCUAAGUUUAAAAGCACUGGGCGUAUAAAUAUGAACCCAUAGCGGCAGUAUUUGACACGCCAUUUAUGCUAUUUGUGUUAUUUUCUCAAAUUUCUAGCUCUUGCUCAUUAGUUCUCGCCUGAUUUUUGAGUUUUUUGAGCUUCGGUUUUUAGAGACGUUUGCUCUAUGUCUGAGAAGAAGAUAACUGAGGAGAAGAUGACUGAGGAGAAGAAGCUGUAUGAAGAGAAAAAAGUUGUUGAUCCUUUCA